rnacentral:rRNA from 1 species
GCAAGUCGAACGAGAAAGCUCCCUUCGGGGGGUGAGUAAAGUGGCAGACGGGUGAGUAACACGUGGGUAACCUGCCCGCGGGUGGGGGAUACCCCUCCGAAAGGAGGGCUAGUACCGCAUAACAUCCCGAGCUCUUCGGGGCCCGCGAUCAAAGCUUGCCUCUUCUGGAAAGCAAGCACCUGUGGAGGGGCCCGCGCCCCAUUAGCUUGUUGGUGAGGUAACGGCUCACCAAGGCCGCGAUGGGUAGCCGGCCUGAGAGGGUGAUC